AAGAACAAAAAUAAUCAGCACUCAUCUUCUGGGAGAGGGCAGGCGGCCAAGGGCCGGGAAGCACCUACUUCACAGGACUGAGUCCCAGAGGGGUAACAGAAAUCCCGAGGGAGUGUGGAGGUUUUUAGCACCCCGGGGUGCAGGAGGAUGCUGUCCCAGCCUCUUAGAGAGAAAAGAGCACCUCUCCUUCCCUUCCCGGUUGAUUUAGGCUCAUUUUCACCAUUUGUCUCUUUAAUACAAGCCCCGGGAGUGGGUUGCCAUGGUUACACUGGUUUUAGCAGUGAGGAUAAGUGGCUUGCUUCCCUUAGGCCAGGAAGCUUUUAGCUACUGAUUUUGAAUUUUAACUCCAUAGAGACUGCCUCGCAGAGGGGGAGAAGCAUGGAUGGGUGGGUCCUGGGAGGAGGGCGAAUUUAAUUAAAAUAGUUCAUGCUUUAUCCACAGAUGAAGGUGGAAGAGGGUGGCGUUGACUUGGAAGGACUUAGUGGAGCUGCACAUUGGCCCAUAGCCCCAGCAGUCAGGAGGUGGAGGCAGGGACACUCCCAAGUGAAUGGAGACCCUAACAGUGCAGUCCAGAGGGUGUCUGUGAGGGUUACUGAGCCGGAAGGGCCCCACAGAGAAUUCCAGGUAGCCCAGGCGUGCCAGAUUCUUUCUAUCCUUGGUUUUAUACAAGAGGCAGAGAGAAUCAAGAAGGUCCCAGCACUCGUGCUCUCUCUCCUCUGAAUAGACAGCUGUAGAGGUGGAGGGGAGCAGGCAGAUUGGCAAGCAGACCCUGGGAUCCACAGCUUCCUACCUGCUGUGGCCCAGGUGGCUACUUCAAUUGUCCUGCCCUCUCUGACCCAGACUGAAGUGAAUGACCCCCUUUAUUCUGCAUCCCGUACAAAGAAAGGCCAGGCACUCACCAAGGUUUCUAUGGACUGCCAUUGUUGAAAUGGGAAAUAAUAAUACAAGUCUAAAAACUUAGACUCCAAAGCCCAUAUAGGAAAAAGAAAACUUCUGAGCUCCUCUGAUCUCCCAAAAGGCAGCCGACAGAUAAGGCUCAACAAAGGACUGGGUACGUGACCAGAGACCUGAGACCAGAUAGCACACCCCAGCUGUGUCAACCUUCCUCUGUCCUAAGGAAGACCAGAUAGCCCUGGCCCAGGAGAUAAUUAACAAACUUGUUUCCCCUACAAUAUCCUAUUUAAUGGCCUUCUGCCUAGACAUACAGUCAUUGUUUCAUCUUUGAAACCAUGGAAACGUUCUAAUCUGGAGGCUUUCAGUCUUUUGGACUUUCCCUUUAACCCCUCCCCCCAGCUGUAAGCCAUAUUCCAUUUGCUCCCGAGUCAGUGGAAUCCACGCUGCAACUUGCCAAUAAAAGAAACCUUUGUUCUUGCA